rnacentral:tRNA from 1 species
CCUCUGGUAGCUCAGUUGGUAGAGCGGUGGACUGUAGAUCCAUAGGUCGCUGGUUCAGAUCCGGCCCAGAGGA